UGGGGAAUAUUGGACAAUGGGCGCAAGCCUGAUCCAGCCAUGCCGCGUGGGUGAAGAAGGCCCUAGGGUUGUAAACCCCUUUCAGCGGGGAAGAUAAUGACGGUACCCGCAGAAGAAGCCCCGGCUAACUCCGUGCCAGCAGCCGCGGUAAUACGGAGGGGGCUAGCGUUGUUCGGAAUUACUGGGCGUAAAGCGCGCGUAGGCGGACCUGCAAGUCGGGGGUGAAAGCCCGAGGCUCAACCUCGGAACUGCCUUCGAUACUGCGGGUCUCGAGUCCGGGAGAGGUGAGUGGAAUUCCUAGUGUAGAGGUGAAAUUCGUAGAUAUUAGGAAGAACACCAGUGGCGAAGGCGGCUCACUGGCCCGGUACUGACGCUGAGGCGCGAAAGCGUGGGGAGCAAACAGG
rnacentral:rRNA from 3 species